ACAUGUCACUACAACAGAUACGGAGAAUGGCGGCAAAAAAUUGGCGGCCAUUUAUAAACCCGCCGCAGAUUGGCAGGAUAGCGGCAGUUGUCGUAGCGGUUUGAUAACUGCACCAAAAUUAAAUAGCAUAGCGGCGGUGACACGUCCCAACUGCUGGAAAGCAACACAGUGAUAUAUAUAACAAAUUAACAUAGCGCGUUCAUAGAAUAUUUUUUUGCAUGAAGUCAAUUAUGCAGGGGCGCGAACCACUUCUCUGGGAGUCCUUGCCGCCGUGGUGCUCCCCGCAGUCAAUUCCAGUAGUCUCCUCCUUCCCAUUGAUGUGUCGUUCACUGAGCCACUUUCCCUCCCUCUAACACGGGUCCGAAACUUAGUUUGGUAGUUUCUCCACUUGAUACACCUGGUUCCAUUGAUUCAUUCCUUCAUUACUGGAAACCAAAAGCUAUUAUACUGAUAGAAAGUGAACUGUGGCCAAAUCUUAUCAUGCAUGCUUCCCAAAAUGGUUAAUAGAAGAUUUUGGAGUCAAUGGAAGAGGGGGGAAAAGUAUAGAUGAUCUGAGAUUACAUCUUGCUCACAAACAGUAAUAUUAGGAGUUCACACUACCCUUAUGCAACUGCAAAAUGCAGAAAGUGGAGAAGGAAGGAUAAAAUAUAAUUUUGAGGUCCCAACAUAAGAAGCUUAAGCCGGAAUGGGUGUGUUCAUGUAGCCGUGUCUCAGAUUUUGGUCUAAUGAAGAUAAACAAUAAAGGAAGGGUGAUUUCAUUCAGUGAGAAGUCUAAAGGAGAAGACCUGAAAGCAAUGCAAGUAGAUACGACACUCUUGGGACUUUCAUGGGAAGAGGCUGAAAAGAAACCAUACAUUGCUUUCAUGGGAGUGUAUGUGUUCAAGAAGGACUUACUUCUUAAUCUACUAAGAUAGCAAGCUAAUUAAUUUCAACAAAAUUUAUUUCAUUCAGAUGGCGCUUUGCAACUACAAAUGAAUUUGGAUUAGAAGUCAUUCCUGCAUGUGCUAGUGAGUUUUGCAUUAAGGUUCAGAAUUUGGCAAAUCAAAAGUACAUUAGUGGUCAGUAAAUUAGUGACAUUAUCAAGAUGCUACUGCACCAGCACUUCCAGAUUUUCAAGACAAGCAGAAAAGGAUCAAUGCAAUUGAAGAGGGGCUAUUAUUAUACUUAUUAUUUUUAUACUUCAUAUUAUUAUUACUUCCAUUGUAAUUAUUAUUAUUAAAACCUAUACCCAUUGGUUUUU